CUUCACUGUACAUGCAGCACUUCAAAAAAUUAAACAAUACCAGGAAGAUUAACAUGGCUUUGAGCAAAGAUGAAAUGCAAAUUCACGAUGCUUUCCAUAUUUUU